UACGGGGGGAGCAAGCGUUGUUCGGAUUUACUGGGCGUAAAGUGUGCGCAGGCGGCCGCGCAAGUCGAGUGUGAAAGCCCCGAGCUUAACUUGGGAAUUGCGCUCGAAACUACGUGGCUGGAGUGUGGCAGAGGAAGGUGGAAUUCCACGUGUAGCGGUGAAAUGCGUAGAGAUGUGGAGGAACACCGAUGGCGAAGGCAGCCUUCUGGGCCAACACUGACGCUCAUGCACGAAAGCGUGGGGAGCAAACAGG
rnacentral:rRNA from 1 species